GUGCUCACUUUGGCAGCACAUAUGCUUAAAUUGAAACAAUACAGAGAAGAUUAGCAUGGUCCCUGUACAAGGAUGAUGUGCAAAUUUAUAAAGUGUUCCAUAUUUUU